rnacentral:rRNA from 1 species
UACGAGGGGGGCAAGCGUUGUUCGGAAUUAUUGGGCGUAAAGGGCGCGUAGGCGGCCUGGCAAGUGGAAGGUGAAAUCCCUCGGCUUAACCGAGGAACUGCCCUCCAAACUGCUUGGCUUGAGUCCGGGAGAGGUGAGUGGAAUUCCCAGUGUAGCGGUGAAAUGCGUAGAUAUCUGGAGGAACACCGGUGGCGAAGGCGGCGUCCUGGACCAACACUGACACUGAUGAGCGAAAGCCAGGGGAGCAAACGGG